rnacentral:rRNA from 1 species
GAGGAAUAUUGGUCAAUGGACGAGAGUCUGAACCAGCCAAGUAGCGUGCAGGAUGACGGCCCUAUGGGUUGUAAACUGCUUUUGUAUGGGGAUAAAGUCAAUCACGUGUGAUUGUUUGCAGGUACCAUACGAAUAAGGACCGGCUAAUUCCGUGCCAGCAGCCGCGGUAAUACGGAAGGUCCGGGCGUUAUCCGGAUUUAUUGGGUUUAAAGGGAGCGUAGGCUGGAGAUUAAGUGUGUUGUGAAAUGUAGACGCUCAACGUCUGAAUUGCAGCGCAUACUGGUUUCCUUGAGUACGCACAACGUUGGCGGAAUUCGUCGUGUAGCGGUGAAAUGCUUAGAUAUGACGAAGAACUCCGAUUGCGAAGGCAGCUGACGGGAGCGCAACUGACGCUUAAGCUCGAAGGUGCGGGUAUCGAACAGGAUUAGAUACCCUGGUAGUCCGCACAGUAAACGAUGGAUGCCCGCUGUUGGUACCUGGUAUCAGCGGCUAAGCGAAAGCAUUAAGCAUCCCACCUGGGGAGUACGCCGGCAACGGUG